rnacentral:lncRNA from 8 species
GGGGAGUUGGGGGGGAUCCAGUGUGUGAGAGAGAGAGGAGAUUCCAACAUCAGCCUUCAUAUGUGAGGCCUCCACAUAACAUAACACAACACAACACCAACAGCUCUGCUAUAGCAAUCAAUACUUCUAUUGAUUACAAUACUUCUAUUGAUUACUAGGAGGAUAUGUAGCUGUAUCAUUUCACCCCUCACAUCACUGCUGGCUGAUUCGCCACUUCAUCUCUCUUUUUUGUGUUCUUGCAUCUCCAUUUUUAUCCAGUUGAUAUGUUUUGUCCUUCCUUUCCUGGCUCAGUGCAUGUGCACAGCACCCCAGUAACUUGGCUAAGUUUGGGCCUAUAAAGGGUUAUUUAGUUGCCAGGAGAGAGAGCAAACUGAUUCUGCAGGGCCUGCCAGAAGAUUACAAUACCGGUGCAUCCUAAGCUACACAGAAUACAAGGACACACACACACACACACACACAGAGAGAGAGAGAGAGAGAGAGAGAGAGAGAGAUUAAUGCGUUUCAGAACGAGGCUGAAAAUACAUCAUAUCAUCUUUAAUGGGUACACAUUUCUGCAGCCGUAAAUCAGCUUUUAUAAAUAGAAAAACCGGGUGAAAUAUGGCGUUGUAUAUUCCUCCCAAUGACACUUUUACAAGCCCUCCCUGCAGUAUAAAGGCAUUGAUUGCUAUUUCAAAGUACCAUGUUAGACCCAAUACUGAGUACAACCAGCUGUCAUAGUGGAGAUGGAGGGAGAGAGAGAGAGGUGGAGGCAGAGAGGUGGAGAGAGAGAGGUGGAUGGAGGGAGGGAGAGAGAGAGAGAGAGAAGGAAAGCGAGAGAGAGAAGGAAAGCGAGAGUGAGGGAGGGAGAGAGAAAGCAAGAGAAGGAAAGCGAGAGGGCAGAAGGGAGAGAGAGAGCGAGAGAAGGAAGCAAGAGGGAGGGAGAGGGCAGAGAGGACUUAUGGCUCUGGCAAAUUUGGGGCCUUUUUUCAGAGAGUCGUUCAGAGAGUCAAAUUAUUGGACUGACAGCCCAUCCCUUUGGUGAAGGUGAAAAUAAGAAAAUGAAAAGUGAUAAGAGUGAGAAGAACACACCCAGAGAGUGAAAGACAAGUUCUCUUCUGACCUGCAGCCUCCCUGAGGUAAAGUAGAACCACACACUGCCUUGCCUUGGUCAUGUGAUUUCUCUGUGUAGGGUUGAUGUUGUUGUGAUAAAUACUGUAGUGACUUGCUAUAGCUAGUCAGCCCCUUUAAGUUCUCAUGCCCAGGUAUCGUAGUGUUUCCCUCCCUGUUGUGUCAGACAGAAACAUUUGGAAUAUAAUUACUCCAAACAAAAUAUACUGUAGCUACAGUGGUGUGGAAACACCAAAUAGAAUCACAAAUCAAAUCAAAUGUUAUUAGUCAUGUAUACAUGGUUAGUUCCUUUUCACUGACCAAUUCAAGUUAUCCUUUCAAUAUCAGUUGAAAAUGUAAUACUAUAAAAAAAUGCCGAUAUUUUCCUUUCAUGUGAAAUUAUAUUUCUCAUAUCCUUUACUGUAUGGUGUCCUAAUGGGUAGAUUUGUAGAGGGAGGAGAUUGUUGUCUGACUGUCACCUCUCUCGGUGUGUGUGUUUGUGUUACGUGUGUGCUUGUGUGUUUGUGUUUGUGUCUUUACAGCAUGAUACAAUUCUAAUUUGUUUACAAAAGUACUAACUGGCCUACAAACAGUGAGCUUGCUAAAGAGAGAGAGAGAGAAUUUAUUUGAGAGAGAGAGAGAGAGAGAGAGAGAGAGAGAGAGAGAGAUAAUGAAAAGGAGAGAAAGAAAGAGGAUUGAGAGACAGAUUCUGUGUGUCAGGGCAGGGGGCGUGAAGAUUAAACAGAGAAAAACCUGCAGCCUGGUAUGCCUUGGGAGAAGGAGAGGAGGGCAGGGGGAGGAGAGGAAAGAUGAAUGUGGCAGGAGAGGUGGAGAUCAGGGCGGGGAGGAGGGAGGGGUGUAGGAUGGGGAGGGAAGGGGGGAGGAGGCUCAUUGGUGCUCAGUUGAACUGGAACUGACCUAAAGAGCUCUCUAACCCUUUCCUGAACCGACCUCCACAACGGACCCUGGAUAAAGGAGGUCAUAAAGUGAGCGUAGGAUUUAAAAAAGGACAAAGGGGAUGAAGAAGGAGAGAGGGACCCCCCUCAAAAACAUCUGGCUGUAAGUCACCAUUUUUCCACACAAGACUCUGGAUAAAUACUCUGUCCUUCCUCCAUAGAGCUACCAGAAAAAUGAGUGCCGGUUCAAAAGGUUCCUCCUAUCCAUUUAAAGUUCCUCUUCCUUUGAUUUAUUCCUCAAGCUAGCACUUCUCUAAGAGUCAAGGACUCUUUCUCUCUCCAACACCUUCAAACAAACACACUGUGUCAUAUGUAUACAGAUAGACAUCAGAUUCCCAGGCCAGUGUUUCUCACUCCCUCCCUUUCUUUUCCUCUGAGUUAAUGUGUACUCAAACCAAGAGACUUCUUUGGAACAAACCAUUCUGUUGUGUUCUGUGUUGUUUUGAAUGCUCAUGGAAAUGUGGGUUAGUCAUGGCCCACUUUGAAUGCUCCCAGAGAGUGCUCUGCUUGAUUGGUGUCAGAGCUUGGCUCUGGUCAGGGUGAGAGAGAUUUGGAGGAUAAGUUGACUGAGAACAUAUUCUCUUUUACAGCAACAACUUGUGGAAGUGUGUGGGUGAAUGAGCCAACUGGAAGCUGGGGAUGAUUAGAUUGUAUGAGGGAAACAUUAGGAAUUUAGCCAGGAGACCAGGGUUAAUACUCCCACCAUGAGAUCUUUAGUGACCACAGAGAGUCAGGACACAGUCCCCUUCAUUGCCCUGAGAUCUCCUUAGACCAGAGGGAAAAGUGCCCCCUACUGGACCUCCAACACCACUUCCAGCAGCAUCUGGUCUCCCAUCCAGGGACUGACCUGGACCAACACUGCUUAGCUUCAGAGGCAAGACAGCAGUGGGAUACAGGGUGGUAUGCUGCUGGCAAAAUACAUGACAAGCCAAGGUCUGCCUGCCUGUACGCCUGCAUCUUUGGAUGCCUGGCUGCCUGGCUGGGCUGUGUAUCCAUGGUGUGUUGACCCCCUGUAAUUCCACUUUACGAUCUGUUCCACAGUAACUGCUCCAUAAAUCUCAUGACGCCUAGCUCCUCCACCCCAACCCCCCAACCCCCCUUAUCAUGCAAACAUCGUAAUCCCGG